rfam:Firmicutes bacterium CAG:145 genomic scaffold, scf3
AGUAGAGUAAAUAUUGUGCGUUAAGUGCUAUGAGAUGGGAUGUAGCUCAUAGACGAAGGCUUUUGGAACCUUGAAUAUCAGACCCUAAAGCCGCGGUACAAUAUUGCGUCCGCUGCU